rnacentral:misc_RNA from 1 species
GAUGAAGAACGUAGCGAAAUGCGAUAAGUAAUGUGAAUUGCAGAAUUCAGUGAAUCAUCGAAUCUUUGAACGCACAUUGCGCCCGCCAGUAUUCUGGCGGGCAUGCCUGUUCGAGCGUCAUUUCAACCAUCAAGCCCCCGGCUUGUGUUGGGGGCCUGCGGCUGCCGCAGGCCCUGAAAAGCAGUGGCGGGCUCGCUGUCACACCGAGCGUAGUAGCAUACAUCUCGCUCUGGGCGUGCUGCGGGUUCCGGCCGUUAAACCACCUUCAUAACCCAAGGUUGACCUCGGAUCAGGUAGGAAGACCCGCUGAACUUAAGCAUCUCAAUAAGCGGAGGA